rnacentral:rRNA from 1 species
UACGUAGGGCCCAAGCGUUAUCCGGAAUUACUGGGCGUAAAGUGCGCGUAGGCGUUUUUGUAAGUCGGUCGUUAAAUCUCACUGCCUAACAGUGAGACCGCGAGCGAUACUACAAGAAUUGAGUCUUGCAGGGGCUAGCAGAAUUUCUGGAGUAGGGGUGAAAUCCGUUGAUACCAGAAGGAAUACCAAUGGCGAAGGCAGCUAGCUGGGCAAUGACUGACGCUGAGAGCGCGAAAGCGUGGGGAGCAAACGGG